ACGGGCUGACAUGGUAGAGCUGCGGACUUUUGAUCCGUAGGUUCUGGGUUCGAGCCUCAGGCGGCCCA
rnacentral:tRNA from 1 species